rnacentral:rRNA from 1 species
UAGUAGCGGCGAGCGAACAGGAAAUAGCCCAGCACUGAAUCCCGCCGUUGUAACGGCGGCGGGAGAUGUGGUGUUCGGGAGGUUCCGCUUUCUUGUCGUCGUCCACUCCUGUCCAAGUUCGUCUUGAACGGGGCCCAUUUCCCAUAGAGGGUGCCAGGCCCGUAGCGACGGAGGACUUCGGCGAGAGGAACUCUCCUCAGAGUCGGGUUGCUUGAGAGUGCAGCCCUAAGUGGGUGGUAAACUCCAUCUAAGGCUAAAUAUUACCGCGAGACCGAUAGCGAACAAGUACCGUGAGGGAAAGUUGAAAAGAACUUUGAAGAGAGAGUUCAACAGUACGUGAAACCGCUCAGGGGUAAACCUGCGAAACUCGAAUGAACGAACGGGGAGAUUCAUCGUUAUUCCGCGGCGUGGUGGCGCACUCUCGAUAUCGUCGGCUUCGGCCGUGCGUUACGGGGUGCGUCGUUCGACGUUCGUGGACGGCGUGCACUUCUCCCUUAGUAAUACAUCGCGACCCGUUCGAUGUCGGUCUAAGCGCCGUUCGGGAGUCACUUUUGCACCCUUCGGGUUGCAGGGGUGACCGUGACGGUCGCCGACCGGCUGUCGGACGGUAUUUUAACGGAUCGCGUACGCGUUUACGCGCGUCCGGCCCGACGCAAGGCUACGUCGUUCACUCCCGUCCUGCCCGAGUGCGGUCGGGGGUGCGGCGCGCCUGCUGUCGCAGCCGUGCUGUCUCGGACUGUACGCGUCCCGUGUCUGCGAUGAUUCAGUUUCGGGCACUCGCAG